rnacentral:ncRNA from 1 species
AGUAUCCACUAGGGGCGCCUCCACGGGCUGAGAUAAGGCGAAACGCCUUGGUCCCUUUGAACCUGAUCUGGGUUAUACCAGCGUAGGAAAGUGGGAAUAUGCCCGG